rnacentral:rRNA from 1 species
GAUGAACGCUGGCGGCGUGCCUAAUACAUGCAAGUCGAGCGAACGGACGAGAAGCUUGCUUUUCUGAUGUUAGCGGCGGACGGGUGAGUAACACGUGGAUAACCUACCUAUAAGACUGGGAUAACUUCGGGAAACCGGAGCUAAUACCGGAUAAUAUUUUGAACCGCAUGGUUCAAAAGUGAAAGACGGUCUUGCUGUCACUUAUAGAUGGAUCCGCGCUGCAUUAGCUAGUUGGUAAGGUAACGGCUUACCAAGGCAACGAUGCAUAGCCGACCUGAGAGGGUGAUCGGACACACUGGAACUGAGACACGGUCCAGACUCCUACGGGAGGCAGCAGUAGGGAAUCUUCCGCAAUGGGCGAAAGCCUGACGGAGCAACGCCGCGUGAGUGAUGAAGGUCUUCGGAUCGUAAAACUCUGUUAUUAGGGAAGAACAUAUGUGUAAGUAACUGUGCACAUCUUGACGGUACCUAAUCAGAAAGACACGGCUAACUACGUG